AGAUCACUCAGCUACUGGCUAGACUCAGAGAUCACCAGAGUGCCAAAGGUCGUGGCAAGGGCAAGGUUGGCGGCAGGCUGAGGUAAACGUGCAGCGAAUCGAGGCGCUACAGAGAGCCAGAAGACUUUGUCUCCUUCUUCACAUAUGCAUUUGUAGUCAUUAUAAAACCAUCUUUCUGUUUGAUUGCAUAUGUAGAGACAGUAAAGUCUGUCAUUUUACUAAUGUCAUGUUUUAUUUCUGCUUUUUUGUCUUAGAC